rnacentral:rRNA from 1 species
UACAGAGGUCCCGAGCGUUGUUCGGAUUCAUUGGGCGUAAAGGGUGCGUAGGUGGCGCCGUAAGUGGGGUGUGAAAUCCCGGGGCUUAACCCCGGGACUGCAUUCCAUACUGCGGUGCUUGAGGACUGGAGAGGAGACUGGAAUUUACGGUGUAGCAGUGAAAUGCGUAGAGAUCGUAAGGAAGACCAGUGGCGAAGGCGGGUCUCUGGACAGUUCCUGACACUGAGGCACGAAAGCUAGGGGAGCAAACGGG